rnacentral:lncRNA from 1 species
GGCAAAAUCCCAGGGAGGGUAGGGACUUUCAGACCCGAGGACAGAAAGGACAACACGGCUGGGACGGGGGGAGGUAUUCAAUGAGGUUGGAGAGAUGGUUAGUUCACACGAGGCCUUUUAGGAUUUUCUUCCACCAAUACCAAGAAACCAUUGAACUGUUGUUUAGGAAAGGGAUCAAAGAAAGCAAUAUAGAAUAUUUAAUUUUAUAGGCCAAAGGUCUUUUCAGUAUUAAAAAGUGAGUUUAAAUAAUGAACAAUGAUCUUACAACAGGUUAUUUUGCUCAAUGAGCAGAUUGUGAUGGCUUUAGACCAGUUUUCAAAAUAAAUCUAACUGAUCGAGAUUAGGGCCUUAAUUAAAAGCAGUAUUUAAGAUACAUACACUGGGUUUAGAUGACUUUUUGCUUUGGGGAUCCGUACGUACCUUUUAAGUCCAUACUACUGGUUUAGGCAGAAACCAUCACAUUGUCAUGUCAUCAUAGGACAACAUUUAAUCUCAACCCCCGAGGUAUUGUGUGCCCUCCAGGGAAGAUUAAUAACUUCUCAUUUAUCAGACUUAAAAGGGAAAGGUUGCUUUUGGUUGUGAAUAACAGAGCCUUAAACACAUAUGAGUUUACUCGUACUAUUAUCAUUAUUAUUUUUGCUUCAUGAAGCAAGUCCAGAGUAGGCGGUGGUUCAGAGGCUGAAAUUUUAUCUGAGUCCACUUCUUUCAAUUCUCUUGAUUUCCUCUUUCAUGGUCCCUGAAUGGCUGCUGCAGCUCCUGUCCACACGUCUGCAAUCCAGGCAAGAAGAGAAAGCGGAGGUAGAAAGGAGUGGUGUCUGUACCAGGAAAUCAGAGAUGGUCUUGGACAUCACAGAAGUCUUCUGCUUAUAUCUCUGCCUUGAACUGUGUCAUAGGGUCACCUUUUUUAGUAGCAAGGCAGUCAGAAAAGAUUUCGGCGAUUGGAGUCACCCAUACAGCCAUCCAUUUAAAUGAUCUUCAUACUUGAGAGGACGAGGUACCUGGCUUCACUCGGCCGUGUAAUAAAGCAUCCUGACGCAUGAGCACAGUCGCUUCUGGGUGAGUCGGGCUCUUUGGCUGAACCUCAGCUUGUGUAUUUUCAUGUAACUUCAGGGUAUUGUCCCUGUGAUUUAUUCUUGGAUGGAAAAGAAGAUACAGACUCCUAGAUUUUAUAGUAUCUGGAAAUGCCUUUAAAAGGGAAAAGAAAAGCAGGUAAGUGGCUAGAAUUAUAA